AUUUUUUUUUUUUAACCAGGUCAGUGGUCUAAUCUGCCUGCCUGAGAGUUAUUCUACAUUGAGUCACAUGACCACAAGGGUCUGCUUCUCGUGAUUUGUUGUAGAGUGGCGCACGUGGCACACCUCAGCAAAGAAUGUCUGAUGUACCACCAUCUGGCACGGAGAUUAACUUGAAAUCCGGCAUUUUGGCUUUCACCAAGGGCUGAUUGGAGUACAAAGAAAAGAAAAUGCCCCCAAGUAGCAAGCAGAAUUACUCAAGGAAUGUACGUUUCAGAGAGUAGUCUGCAAUUACCCAGCAUGUUGCACUUUACAAGGACAUCCUUAGCUCAUUUGCUGAAAAGCUAUGAACAGUUCGGCAUCUAAGAGUUACACCUCCUGAGAUUCAUGGAGCUUCUUUUUUUGGCACCAUUCAAUAAAAACUGUUUUUCACAGUCAUGGCCAUCUAUCUCAGCCGGCAGCAAGCUUGUUAAAGAAAAGGAACAUUUGACAUGGGGCUGUUCUGCAGGAGAUUAGCUGAAGGUUCCGUUAAAAUCUAACUCAAUUUGAAUCCAAGGCAACAAAGGAGCCCCCAAGGCUGAGCACAACUGCUUAAAAACAUCUGAACAGUUCUCAAAGGCCCUUCAGUUGGGAGGAAGCAGCACCAUCUGGAUAGAAACAGCAGUAAGGAAUACAUUUGGGAUGGUGUUACCUCUGACCCCACGUAAGGUGGAUCUGGAGACGUGGAUUUGUCUAGGCAAUGAAUGAGGCAGAUAAGAGUGUGUAAAAGGAGUAGUCGGUGCCCAGACAAAGCAGCAGCAUGGCCAAGGAAGAAGAUGACAUGACAACAGCCCUGUGAUCAAAUCAAACCACAAAGGAGCUCUGAAGGUCAAGCUGCAUGGGUGUGUUAUGUGUCAGGAAGUUAGGAGGAACCCAAGUCUGAGGAAGCAUUCCCAUUGAGGGCAUACAGGCCUAGAAUUGGUCAAUAAUCCCCACUUAAGCCUAAGUGUGAACUCUGUAAUUCAAAGUAUUUCAAGCUGAUUUCCUUUUUAUUUUCUUGAAGACAUUUAAGCAUUUAAGUGGAGUAAUGUUUGGUGGUUGUUCAGGAGUUUUGUAGUCUUUUCAAAAUAUUCACAAUGUGCACAUGGUAUAGACUGAAAAUCCUAAAAUGACUUGGCCUUAUGUGUGUGUCCUGUGAUGGAUGGCCCUCCCAUGCUGGCUUGGUUUUUGCCUUGUGUCCAAAGUAGAAUAAGGUUAAGAGAAUGGAUAGAAGGAUAAAUAUAAAAAUCUCAGAACCUCAGCCUGUGAAGAACAGUUUUAAAGACUUCACGCAUCCACCCAUCCUGUCUGAACAGAACAGGCCUUAUUUUUAAGCCAACAGAGGAGUGUUCAAAUGUAUGAUAUAUAGUGUUAGAAAGCUAAAUUUGGAUGAG